rnacentral:rRNA from 1 species
CCUACGGGUGGCAGCAGUCGAGAAUCAUUCACAAUGGGGGAAACCCUGAUGGUGCGACGCCGCGUGGGGGAAUGAAGGUCUUCGGAUUGUAAACCCCUGUCAUGUGGGAGCAAAUUAAAAAGAUAGUACCACAAGAGGAAGAGACGGCUAACUCUGUGCCAGCAGCCGCGGUAAUACAGAGGUCUCAAGCGUUGUUCGGAAUCACUGGGCGUAAGGCGUGCGUAGGCUGUUUCGUAAGUCGUGUGUGAAAGGCGCGGGCUCAACCCGCGGACGGCACAUGAUACUGCGAGACUAGAGUAAUGGAGGGGGAACCGGAAUUCUCGGUGUAGCAGUGAAAUGCGUAGAUAUCGAGAGGAACACUCGUGGCGAAGGCGGGUUCCUGGACAUUAACUGACGCUGAGGCACGGAGGCCAGGGGAGCGAAAGGGAUUAGAUACCCCGGUAGUC